rnacentral:rRNA from 1 species
GACGAACGCUGGCGGCGUGCUUAACACAUGCAAGUCGAACGGAAAGGCCCUGCUUUUGUGGGGUGCUCGAGUGGCGAACGGGUGAGUAACACGUGAGUAACCUGCCCUUGACUUUGGGAUAACUUCAGGAAACUGGGGCUAAUACCGGAUAGGAGCUCCUGCUGCAUGGUGGGGGUUGGAAAGUUUCGGCGGUUGGGGAUGGACUCGCGGCUUAUCAGCUUGUUGGGGGGGUAGUGGCUUACCAAGGCUUUGACGGGUAGCCGGCCUGAGAGGGUGGCCGGCCACAUUGGGACUGCGAUACGGCCCAGACUCCUACGGGAGGCAGCAGUGGGGAAUCUUGCACAAUGGGCGGAAGCCUGAUGCAGCAACGCCGCGUGCGGGAUGACGGCCUUCGGGUUGUAAACCGCUUUCGCCUGUGACGAAGCGUGAGUGACGGUAAUGGGUAAAGAAGCACCGGCUAACUACGUG